rnacentral:rRNA from 1 species
GAUGAACGCUCGCGGCAGGCCUAAUACAUGCAAGUCGGACGGGAUUCAGGAGCUUGCUUCUGAUGAGAGUGGCGCACGGGUGCGUAACACGUAUGUAACCUACCUUUAUCAGGGGGAUAGCCUCUCGAAAGAGAGAUUAAGCCCGCAUAAAAUCACAGCACAGCAUUGUGUACUGAUCAAAUAUUUAUAGGAUAAAGAUGGGCAUGCGGAACAUUAGCUAGGUGGCGGGGUAACGGCCCACCAUGGCGACGAUGUUUAGGGGAUCUGAGAGGAUGGCCCCCCACACUGGGACUGAGACACGGACCAGACUCCUACGGGAGGCAGCAGUAAGGGAUAUUGGUCAAUGGGAGGAAGCCUGAACCAGCCAUGCCGCGUGCAGGAAGACGGCCCUACGGGUUGUAACCUGCUUUUAUACGGGAAUAAACCCAGAUACGUGUAUCUGGCUGAAUGUACUGUAAGAAUAAGGAUCGGCUAACUCCGUG